AUUGAACGCUGGCGGCAGGCUUAACACAUGCAAGUCGAGCGGAGAUGAGGUGCUUGCACCUUAUCUUAGCGGCGGACGGGUGAGUAAUGCUUAGGAAUCUGCCUAUUAGUGGGGGACAACAUUCCGAAAGGAAUGCUAAUACCGCCUACGCCCUACGGGGGAAAGCAGGGGAUCUUCGGACCUUGCGCUAAUAGAUGACCCUAAGUCGGAUUAGCUAGUUGGUGGGGUAAAGGCCUACCAAGGCGACGAUCUGUAGCGGGUCUGAGAGGAUGAUCCGCCACACUGGGACUGGGACACGGCCCAGACUCCUACGGGAGGCAGCAGUGGGGAAUAUUGGACAAUGGGCGGAAGCCUGAUCCAGCCAUGCCGCGUGUGUGAAGAAGGCCUUUUGGUUGUAAAGCACUUUAAGCGAGGAGGAGGCUACCUGGAUUAAUACUCUAGGAUAGUGGACGUUACUCGCAGAAUAAGCACCGGCUAACUCUGUGCCAGCCGCCGCCGUAAUAC
rnacentral:rRNA from 1 species